CCUGACUGCUAUCGGAUUGAUACUAAGCCAUGCUAGUCUUUGUAGUAAUACAAGGCAUACGGCUCAGUAACGCGUAGUCAACCUACCCUAUGGACGGGGAUAAUCUCGGGAAACUGAGCAUAAUACCCGGCAGACCACUUAUCCUGGAAUGGUUAGUGGUUAAAAUGAUUCGUCGCCAUAGGAUGGGACUGCGGCCUAUCAGCUUGUUGGUGAGGUAAUGGCCCACCAAGGCGAUUACAGGUACGGGCUCUGAGAGGAGAGGCCCGGAGAUGGGUACUGAGACAAGGACCCAGGCCCUAUGGGGCGCAGCAGGCGAGAAAACUUUGCAAUGUGCGAAAGCACGACAAGGUUAAUCCGAGUGAUUUCUGCUAAAGGAAUCUUUUGUUAGUUCUAAAAAUACUAGUGAAUAAGGGGUGGGCAAGUUCUGGUGUCAGCCGCCGCGGUAAAACCAGCACCUCAAGUGGUCAGGAGGAUUAUUGGGCCUAAAGCAUCCGUAGCCUGUUCUAUAAGUUUGCGGUUAAAUCUAUACGCUCAACGUAUAGGCUGCCGUAAAUACUGUAGAACUAGGGAGUGGGAGAGGUAGACGGUACUCGAUAGGAAGGGGUAAAAUCCUUUGAUCUAUUGAUGACCACCUGUGGCGAAGGCGGUCUACCAGAACACGUUCGACGGUGAGGGAUGAAAGCUGGGGGAGCAAACCGGAUUAGAUACCCGGGUAGUCCCAGCUGUAAACGAUGCAGACUCGAUGAUGCAAUGGCAUAGAGCUAUUGCAGUAUCGCAGGGAAGCCGUUAAGUUUGCCGCCUGGGAAGUACGUACGCAAGUAUGAAACUUAAAGGAAUUGACGGGGGAGCACCACAAGGGGUGAAGCCUGCGGUUC
rnacentral:rRNA from 1 species